rnacentral:tRNA from 1 species
GCGCUCAUAGCUCAAUUGGAUAGAGUGUCUGACUACGAAUCAGAAGGUUAGGGGUUCGAAUCCCUUUGGGCGCGCCA